rnacentral:rRNA from 1 species
AACGUAGGAGGCGAGCGUUAUCCGGAUUUACUGGGCGUAAAGCGCGUGCAGGCGGUUCGGCAAGUUGGAUGUGAAAGCUCCUGGCUCAACUAGGAGAGGUCGUUCAAUACUACCGAACUUGAGGGCAUCAGAGGAAGGUGGAAUUCCCGGUGUAGUGGUGAAAUGCGUAGAUAUCGGGAGGAACACCAGUGGCGAAGGCGACCUUCUGGGAUGUUCCUGACGCUCAGACGCGAAGGCUAGGGUAGCAAAC